AUGAUUUAAUACACUUGCUUCUUCAUUCACUUCUCCAAACGUUCCAACCGAUUAUUCGGCUUCUAAAUGGGCCAGGAAUUUAGGAAAAGAAAGAAGAGGCAUGGAUGGGGAUAGGGAUGGGGAACCCUUGACCCGGGUCGCAGCCUGGGCGUGGCUCGGCCCUGCGCACCGAGACCGAAGGCCGUACACUCGGCGCGGCCCCAGGCUCCGGAUGCGGGGCGUCCAGCCCAGACCUCGCCCUCGGGGAGAGGAGAGGCGGAAGCCAAGGGGAGGAAAUGCAGUCCAUCCACUGCAGUCGUCGCGGCUGCGGCCCUGGAAGCGAACCUCAGACCCACCUACCCGCAGGGAGGCCGGGAGGGGGGACCUCGGACAAAAUGGCGCAGCCGCACGGCGCAGGGUGGGCGACUCGGGCCGGCGCGCGCCGGGCCGUCCGGGCGUGUUUCCGGACCAGCGGAGUCGGAAACGGACUCCGGGCGCGCGCCCCGGAGAGAGGAGGCGGGGCGGCUUUCCCGGAAGUGCGGCUGCGUGGCAGGGAGCUUGGCCCUGCAUCUCCGUAGGUGCCCCGCGGAGCGAGCGUGCAGAGAGGAGAACCGGUUCCUGCGGAGAUCUCGGUCCUCGGUGCGUGUGCGUGUGCGUGUGCGUGUGCGUGAGUGUGUGCGAGUGUGCAGGGGGCGGGACCCCAGGCAGGGCAGUGGUCCCACUGUGUGUGUGCGUGAGUGUGCGUGUGGGUGAGUGUGCAGGGGGCGGACCCCAGGUAGGACAGGGGUCCCGCUGAGUGUGUGCGUGUGUGUGAGUGUGAGUGUGUGAGUGUGUGUGCGUGUGUGUGAGUGUGAGUGUGAGUGUGAGUGUGAGUGUGCAGGGGGCGGGACCCCAGGCAGGGCAGGGGUCCCGCCGCGGGUGGGGAGGGAGACUCGCAGAGGAAAGAGAGUUUGGCUGUCGUUCCCCAGUCCCAAAGGGAGGGGCGGGAUGGACGGGCCCCUGCCUCCCCGGGAGUCCGCCAAGUUCAUUGCUGAGAACAGCCGAGACGUGUCCAUCGACGGCGGAGGCGUGCGGAGGGUGGCCGAGCUGCUGCUCGCCAAGGCCGGGAGCCCCGAGCUGCGCCUGGGCGGCUGGAAGGCCCUUCAUGAGCUGAACCCCAGGGCGGCCGACGAGGCCGCGGUCAAUUGGGUGUUCGUGGCAGACACACUCAACUUCUCCUUCUGGUCGGAGCAUGAGGAGCACAAAUGUCUGGUGGGCCACCGGGGCAAGACGUACAGUGGGUACUGGUCCCUGUGCGCCGCCAUCAACAGAGCCCUGGACGAAGGGAUACCAAUAACUAGUGCUUCGUACUAUGCCACAGUGUCCCUGGAUCAGGUUCGGCAUAUACUCCGUUCUGACACGGAUGUGCCCAUGCCUUUGAUCGAAGAGAGGCAUCGGAUUCUCAAUGAAACCGGGAAAAUCUUGCUUGAGAAAUUUGAAGGCUCCUUUCUUAACUGUGUCCGAAAAAGUGAAAAAAGUGCACAGAAGUUAAUGCAUCUGGUAGUUGAAAACUUUCCCUCUUACAGAGAUGUGACUGAGUUUGAGGGGAAAAGAAUUUCUUUUUACAAACGGGCCCAAAUCCUUGUGGCAGAUACGUGGAGUGUGUUAGAGGGAGAAGGAGACGGCUGCUUUAAGGACAUCUCCAGUAUUACCAUGUUUGCUGACUAUAGAUUACCUCAGGUUCUUGUUCACCUGGGAGCCCUGAAAUACUCUGAAGAACUACUGGAGAAGCUUCUCAAAGUUAAAAUCCUACACAUCCACAAAGGCUUAGCUCCAGUGCUACCUCUUCCACAUAGCUUUUCCUGACUCUUCAUGAUUUGUCCAUCUCCUUCUAUCCAUUGUCUCUGCUACUGUGAAAAAAACCCUGGUUAGAAGGGAUCCAUCCAACAUAGUUGGACAGAGUUGUCUGAACUUCUCCUGCCAUCCUCAUCGUCUCCAGAUGCUCUUUUCCAGAUGUGCAUCUGCAGCUGUUACUGCCUUCAUUUUGUCCAGCUCCUAAAAGAAGACUGCUAUCCUUACCAGUUUGGUAUAGGGUGAACAAAUAUCUUUGCCCCUAGUUUGUUUAAACAAAGUUGGAUUUUUUUUCCUGAAAAGUACUUUAUUAGCAAACUAGAGGAGAAACAGAAACUAUAAAUGUAAAGGAGAAAUGCUCUCGUAUGGGAGUAGGCAAGAAGUAGAAAUCAGAGGGUGCUCACUUUGGUGUGUGGAGCUGAUCCGGGAUUGUCUUCUGGAGCUUAUUGAAAAAAAGGGUGAAAAAACAAGUGAAGAGAUC